rnacentral:lncRNA from 1 species
AUACAACCCAGAAGACACAGUUUACGGUCUGUUAGUUAUGAUCUUUGGAAACCUGGUCGGCUUUGGUUUUCUGGGCACGCAAGCUAGAGAACUUAUUGAAGAUUCAAAUACUGUAAAUGAUCUGCCUUGGUGGUGCUAUGGGUUGACAAGCUCUACAUCGGAUUGAGGAUUCAAUGUUAGGUGAGCUCGAGUUCGACCUGAAUUGAAGCUGCAGUAAGGUUGUAAUAUCAGUUAAAGUCGCACGGGAUGAAAUCUAAGUGCUACAAAUAAUGUUUCAUAGAGGCCUCCAAGGUUCGUCACCCGUGACGUGUUUAAAAAUGAAGGUAAUCUGGUUAAUUUGUUUGGAAAUAUAGUAGCCUUUGUUAAUGGUGACUCUUUCCUAUGAAUAUGUAUUGUUGGGCUUUGAACUUCUUGUUGAAGUUCCAUUACUUUUGCCUUUUGGUGUGGUAAUUGUUAAAUACUUUGUACUUGUGUUCUGUUAACAGAUUUAUACUACCCGCUGUUAUGAAUUUCUUUUACAAUUUUUUUGGUUAAUAGUUGUUUUAACUAAUUGAAAAUUAGCUGCACAAGCUCAUUACUGAUUACUGGUGGCUAGGUUCAAAUUUAGGCCCCGAUUUAGGAUAUAUGUAUAGUAUAGGGUCGCGCUCCAAUGUUUAAAAUAGAAUCAUAGAUACACUAAGGUUCUGCUGCAGAACCCUAUAAUUUUUCAUAGAUUUUCAGGAUUUAAAUUUAAAUACAUGUUUUUUUCAUCGUUGUGUGUGUUCAAAAGUAAUUUCAAAAUAUAAUACAUAAAUAAGACAUUAUGUGCAGUUCUGCUGCUGAACCCUAACUAACUUGAAAUAAGAGCAUCUCCAGGGGUAAUCCCUAUACUGGUUACCUAAAAAAUAAUAAAAUAAUAGUUACUUAAAAUAUAGGUAAGCAAAAAGUUGUUUUACUCCAAUGGUAUUACCUAUACUUGUUACUUAUAAUUUAAAAAUUAAUAUUUAUUUAAUAUUUAAGGUAAUAUAUGUGAGAAGAGUUAGAGUUGGAGUAAAUAUAUGUUAUAUUAUAUAGGUAAUAUUGAUGAUAUGGCAUUAUAGGGGUUGGAUUUUUGCUUCCUCAAAUAAGGGGAUGAGUUUUCUCUCCCUUAAAAUUUUUAGGGGAUAGGGAGUUGCAUUUAGGGGUGGCAAUCGUUUCGUUUCGUAUACUUUCGUUUCGUGUAUUUUCGUGUUUCGUGUACUCGAAGGUGAAACCCGUAUCCGCCCGUUAUUAAUUUCGUGUACCUAAUUUGAAACCCGUAUCCGUUUCGAAUCGUUUCGUGUAUAUUUUGUGUACUUUUCGUGUAUAUUAUAUAUAAAAAUAUUAAUAUAUUUUUUAAUCAAAAAAUGGAUUUAAUAUAUAUUUUCCUUUAUAAAUUUAUUAAAUGUGAAUGAUAUAUAUUAUACUUGUAUACAAUUCUUCAUAAAUUUGUUAAUGUAUCUACAAUAUAUAUCCACACAUACAUGUAAAUAUAUACUUUAUACUCAAUUAUAUAUUUAAUAUAUCAUUACAUAUAUAUAAUAAAUAUAAUCUACAAAUAUUUCGUGUACUUUCGUGUAUUUCGUGUACCCCAAAUGAAAACCCAUAUCCGACACGAAAUCUAUCGUGUAAUUUCGUGUUCGUGUACUUUCGUGUUUCGUGUAUCGAAAAUCAAAACCCAUAUCCAUUUUUUUCGUGUCGUUUCGUUUCGUGUUAGCGUGUUACGUGUCAAAUUGCCAGGUCUAGUUGCAUUGGAGAACUGAUUUUUGAUGCUAACCCUUAAAUCUUGUCCACCUAGACCAAAUAUGAGUAAGGAGAGUGUGCAUUGGGGUUGCUCUAAGGUAAUGGUUCUGAGGGUUCUUUUUCUAAUGGUUCUCUGUUGAACAUGACCCAUAUAUGAAUAUGCUUAAUGUCUUCCUAAUUAUGAAAAUAAUUAGGAAAAAAGAUGCUCCCAUCACAUCCCAAUACGAUAUUACCGGCCUUUGCAAGAGAUUAUAAUUGGAUGGCGCUAGUAUAGUUAUCAGAUAUCCAACACUCGUAUGACGGGCAUAACUUUAAAGUGGUGCGAGAAAUUUACGCAAAUUUGAGAGAACGAACACAUAUGACAGAUCUUACAGAUAAUGUCUAAAAUAAUAAAUGUUCUAAAAUAUCAUUUAUUAAUGUCGGAUAAUCCAGUGUUUUAAUUGUUAGAAGAAAAUGUUAGAUCAUAUUGCGUUUUAAAUUAAAAAAAACAUACAAAACACAGCACUGACAUUUUAGAUUUAGAGUUUCAAAAUGCUAUAUCAUGUAACGUUAUACGCUGGAAAAGAGGAUAAAUGUUAUACGUUGGAAAAGAAGAUUGACGUUAUAUGAUCUAGUGUUCUGGAUGAUAAAAUAGUAGGUCAAGAUCAUCUUCUUCGACAUCAAUAUUUAGGACUAUUUUUUUGAAAAUUAUGAUAAUGAGGUUCAACGCCCCUUUAAUAUGGUACCAUAUAUUCACACAAAUCCACGCACAAGAUUGUUAUUACACGGAAUUAUUCUGUGUUGUUUAGCUGGGCUAAAAAGCCAAGUCGGCAGCAUAAUGUUUAUGUAAAAAAUCAAAUCAUCCCAAAUUCCUUGCAAAAAAUCAAAUUGACAUGUUAUGAGGAGCGAGAGAGCAACAUGAACAGAGAUAUCCAUCAUACACAACAAAAAGGGAAACACAGUACUUGAUCUAAGGAACACACUGCUAACUUUUCAAGAAAACAAAGCAAACUAUUCACGUAUAAAAACAACUAUAUUCUUCCUACCAUGAGCUCAUGGCUUGAAAUCGGCACAAAUGUAUUCAACUAGAACAGCAAUCGACUAAACUACAUCACAAUAAUACAAGGAGCACGUAGCCAUAAACAGUUGGAAUAUAUGGAGUCGAACAUCAUAGGUUUCCAAAACAGGACAAUCUAUGUUACAGUACAGAUUGUCUUGCAGCGCGCAACACGCAAGACUACGACAAAUACAAUCAUCCUGACCCAGACUGGACCCUUAAUUUCGUUUAAACAGAGUAUAAAUGACAUAUACAGGCCGGGUUCCAAAACGUAUCAAUCAAACACCUUUCUGUUGUUGUAGUAUCAAGUAUAAGGGAAAUUACUUACACAUAUAUAAAUUCAUCCAGUUAGCAAGAGGAAAGCGAGAUGCUGUAACCAAAUUUUUAAAAAAUCAGUACCAGCAAACACAUCUGGAAGAUCGUUUCUCAGCAUUCCUGCACUGCCGCUUCUGGUACAUCUGCAUGAGCCUGUGUCUGAUUUUCCGCAUCAUCCCUCUGUAUGACUUCUGGUGGAUCUGCAUUCGGCUGAUUCUCUGAAUCCCGUACACUAGCAGUAGCACCCGCAACAGAUUGAUUUUCAGCAUGCCUCUGCACUACUGCAUCACUGAAAUUUGCAACAUUUUGAUACUGUGCAUCCCUUGGUAACACACCAGACGCCAGAAUUCUUUCAUUCCAAUUGCGUGGAAUGUUGUGGGUCAUACUAACUGGAAGUAACUGAUUCUGCUCAUUACGUGUCCAAUAAUACACUUUACAGGCACCCAUGACUGCUAACAGGCCGCUUAAUAUAUCGAUGAACAUCUUUAUGGCAGAUGCAGCCAUUUUCCAAUCAUUUUUCAUGUGAUGAUUUUCUAAAUGAAGCUCCUUAAAAUAGGCAUAAGCUAGUAGAAGAUAUAACAAAGGAAGUAGGAAUUCCAAACCAUGAGUUAUGGUGAAAAAACAAACCCUUUCAUUGUUCCUCGUAUUAACAUAGUGUAAUGUUGGAGUAAGUUGAGCUCUCUUCAUUUCCACAAAGACCUUAAAGCAGUAAGAGAGAAUGGCAAAUAUAGCAAUGCUUUCUAUCAAUCUAACGGUCCAUAAAUGUGGUUCAGUAGGCAACAAGCUAGUUAAAGCUGCGAUUUCUAGCUGAAAUAGAACUCCCAGGCACUCAGUUGGGUUUCUCCUAAACUGGGAAAAAAGAAAGUUAAACAAUCAUAUCAGAUAUCAAUGUUGGACAGUUUAGCAACAAGAAGUUUCUACUCAAUUUUGUGAAAUAAUAAGCAGCUUGAAAAAAUAAAUAAAUCAAGAGGUCAAUUCUCCCCAUCUAGUAACUAUAUUAUCAAGCAUACCUAUUCUCAUAAAAUCUCCAAUUAUAGAAACUUGUUGGGGCACAAUACAUAAAGAUAGCCCAUUAUAGAAAGGUCCACAAAAAGUUAAGCACAUAAAUUGUUUCGGAAGAUACUCUGGUGUACACUUUGGAAGACCCUCAUUUGUGAGAGGAAUUGAUACAACACCCCCAGAAUUAUUCGCCACAAUAAUAGGGAUAUUUGUUAUGAAUAUAUGAAUAACGAUCAGCUUAACAGGGCUACCGUUAGCAAGAAGUAUGGAAAAAUAGAUUUGUUUAAGAGCUGAGCUUGCAAAGUCACCGAACAAGGAGGCCGGAAUUAUGGUAUUCCGUCCGACCAAUGCCCGGGAAUGCAUCACAAAGGUUACAUGUGCCUCUUUUUAGAAAUCGUGAAUCCGAAUCCUUUUGCAAUGUGCCUACAUACCUUAUUUAUAGAGAUCACACUCAAUGUAGUUCUUGAUAAGUGUUGCCAAGAGAUAAGCCCUUAUCCCCUCUAAUUUGGGAUAAAUUAGCUAGUACUUGUGAUAAACUAGCAUUCCUUCACGUCUAUCCGAAGAAUCCCACUACAAGUAAGCCACUUGAAGCCUUCUUAUUUGAUAUAUAUCCGAUUAUAUACAUGAAAUAUGUGUAUAUGUCAGAAUUAUCCUCAAAAUAGGUGUAUUUAUCCCUUAACUAGUGGAUAGUGGAUAAAGGAUAGCUUGAGUACUCCAAGUCCAUCUCCAAUUCGUUCUCCUAGAAACAAGGAAGAAGAAUCUAACAUAACUAUGCUAGGCUUCUGCCCAAACGGAGGAAAGAACUCGGAACACUCUCCGGGGUAUUACUUAUGAAAGACCUUUCGGAAUAUUGCUUAUGGAAAGAACUCAAGGUGUACACAUUAUAAGAUGGUGUAAAUCUCCUUGUUCGGAGUUGUGUAUUCCCUUGUAUAUAUAUCACUACAUAUAGAUUCAACUUGGAAACUUAAUAUUUACAGAAUAAUACAUAAUAUAUAAUUUAGGAAGUUGCCUUCUCUAACACACACCUGCAGUCAAAGCGGGAGGAGUAUGAACACUCAGACUGGACCUGAAAUCAAGGAAUAGAUGUCGAGGAAGAAAGAUAUCAGCCUACUGGGAAAAAGAGAGAACAUAAAGAACUCGAACACGGCCUAAGGCACCCUGUUCACGAACAAUUUGCAUAUCCAUCUCCACAUGUUUCAUCCGUUGAUGUUGAACAGAUUUAUAAUCCAACAAGAUUCUGCUAGACUGCAUAACUAAUUUUAGGGCGUGUAAAUACUAAUACUGAAGUGCACUAGCCAGGCUACUGUUGGGCCAACUAAGCGAGCCAUAACUCCACAAUAAUACGAUAUUGUCCGCUUUGGGCUGAGCCUGCACGGCUUUGUUUUUUGGGCACCUCCCAAAAGGUGGAGAUUGUUACAGAUCGUUUCAAAUCUCGCUCUGAUAUCACUUGUUGGGCCAGCUAAGCGAGUCAUAACUUCACAAUAGUACAAUAUUGUCCGCUUUGGGCCGAGCCCUCAUGGCUCUGAUUUUGGGCACCUCCCAAAAGGCCUCGUUCUAUUGGAGUUGUUUUGGCUGCUUAUAUUCCAGCUUUCUGCCCCUCCUUCCACAACCGAUGUGGGACAACUCCUAACAAUUAUGAUACAAUGUGGGAUCUGUUAGGAGUUGUCCAUCGUGGAGGAGUUUGAGGUGAGUAAUUUGAUAUGUGGAUGAUUUAAUAUUCACAGGCAAUAAUACAAGUUUGAUCGAAGCUUUUAAGCAGUCCAUCAUGAAGAAGUUUGAGACAAGUGAUUUGGGUCUGAUGUCAUACUUUCUUGGCAUUGAAGUAGAGCACAGAGAAGAUCGAAUAUUCAUAUCUCAGAUGUUGCUGUAUAAUCCUGUAAGGACUCUAGUUGAAGUUGGCACAAAGCUAACAAAGAAAAGGAAAGAGCCACUUGCAGAUCCAACUUAUUUUAAGCAAAUUGUUGGAAGUCUCAGGUACCUUGUACCAUACUUGACAUUUCCUAUGAAGUUGGUUUUAUUAGUAGAUACAUGAGUCACCACAGCGGUCUCACUUGCAAUAGCCAAACACAUCAUGCGUUAUUUAAGAGGUACUCACGAUCUUGGAUUAUUUUAUUCUUCAACUGAUAAGAGUGCACUCAUAGGUUUUUCAGACAAUGACUGGGCUGGAGAUUUGGAUGAUCGUAAAAGCACUUCUGGCUACUGUUUUAUACUUGGCAGUGGCUACUGUUUUAUACUUGGCAGUGCAGCAAGUUAAUGGUCAUCGAAGAAGCAAUCUACUGUCGCUCUCUCUACUUACGAAGCAGAGUACAUUGCUGCAGUUUCUAGUGCCUGCCAGGCUAUUUGGUUGACAAGUUUAUUGAGCCAGAUGCAUAAUUUAGUUAAGGGAACUUUAAAGAUAUUUGUAGAUAACAGAUCUGCAAUUACUCUGGCCAAGAAUCCAGUUGCUCAUGGAAGAAGUAAGCAUAUUGAAAUUAAGUAUCAUUUUCUUAGGGAACUAGUUGAGUAAAAGAAGGUUGAAUUGGUGUUUUGCAAGUCUGAAAAUCAAGUAUCAGACAUUCUAACAAAGCCUCUGAAGUUUGAAGCAUUUGUUAGGCUGAGAAGCAAGCUUGGUAUUUGUUCUAUAGAAUCAUGAUUAAGGAGGAGUGUUAGAGUGUAAUCCUGAUUUGUAGGAGUACAAUUUGAAUAAGUCAUGUUUGUAAUAUUAGUUCCUGGAUUUGUUAUAGUAGUGAGUGAAAGUGUGACUAUUUUUAUGGUCCACUUUGUUAGUGAUUCUGGUUGUUAUUUCUUAUCUGCAUGUUGUCUUAUAUAGUCUCUAACCAACUAGCUUUGAUUAAUGAAAAACUACGUCGCUUUCUUACAUAACUUAUUUCUCAGCAUAAUUACUCUUAUUUUACUAACAAAAGCAAUUCCACAAAAUCAGCACAUCAUUUAAAGUACAGAUAUGAUCUUAUUUGAAUCCAAAAUAGCUUUAGUUUAGGAUCAGUUUUGAUUCUGCAGUAAUUAAUUCAGUUUAUUAUACUUGUAAAUAUCUCCUCUAAUGUUGCCUGUAAUUGCGUUAGUAGUCUGAUAUAUAUUGAACAUUAUACAUCAAUGAGAUAAAAAGGAAAACACAUUUCUACAGUUACAUUUUCAUCAAUUUAAGAACUAGACUUUUCAUAUAUGUCUGGUUGAAGGAAUAAGAAGCUUGAAAAAAGCAUCUGACCUCCAAAUCCACAUAGAGCUAAUUGGAUUUUAAAUUUUAAAUAAAGUGUAAGGUGAGUCCUCAUAUGUGUUUAAAGGCCUCACAUGGCAUACUGAGUGAAAGAUGCUAACUCUACUAAACUUAGUCCACCUUAUGGGUUGACUACUUGACUUGUGAGCAAACUCAGUAGCAUGGAUCAAUUCUUUUCGCAACAUUAUUAUGAUUCCAUUAUAAAGAUCUCUACUUAACUAAAUUCUUUGUGACAGAUGCUUGUGUUGGCUUAAAGUGACAAGGUUUCAACAUUUUAUAGCUGGAUCAUGAUCUAGUUUCAUUACUAACCUGAAAUAUCUCUUCAUAUUUCAAGCAUUUAUCAAUACGUCGAAGAGAGUUUCACUCCUGGCGGGGAAGCUUGCCCUCAGAAUUAAGAUUGAUAGUUUUUUUUUAAAUGCGGGAAGGCUAAAGCUCUGGCAGAAAGGGGUUAUUUGCUUCAGAGAAAAGAGAUAUAUGGUAUGCCUCACCGGUUAAUGAUGAAAGAAAUUCUAAAAAGAAAAAAGUCACAUAUGAAAAGGCCUUGAAUCAAAGUUGUUGUUUCGACACAUUUUAAGCAUGUUGCUAACUUGCUAUUAGAAUUCUCUGAUGAUUCACUUUAAAUACGGUGCAACUGAUCAAAACAAUCGAACAUAAAUCACAUUGGUUCAAGGCCUAUUCAUAUGCUUAAACAAAUUUUCAAGUCUAAAUCAGAUGAUAAAGAAAAUCUUUUGAAACUGUAUAAAAAGAAAAUUAAACAGUUAUCUAAGAUGACAGAUGUAGAACCAAUCUAGAAAAAGAAGUUUCUGUAUCCACAACUUAGUCAGUUACAAGACUUG